GUGGGUAGUUUGACUGGGGCGGUCUCCUCCUAAAGAGUAACGGAGGAGCACGAAGGUUGGCUAAUCCUGGUCGGACAUCAGGAGGUUAGUGCAAUGGCAUAAGCCAGCUUGACUGCGAGCGUGACGGCGCGAGCAGGUGCGAAAGCAGGUCAUAGUGAUCCGGUGGUUCUGAAUGGAAGGGCCAUCGCUCAACGGAUAAAAGGUACUCCGGGGAUAACAGGCUGAUACCGCCCAAGAGUUCAUAUCGACGGCGGUGUUUGGCACCUCGAUGUCGGCUCAUCACAUCCUGGGGCUGAAGUAGGUCCCAAGGGUAUGGCUGUUCGCCAUUUAAAGUGGUACGCGAGCUGGGUUUAGAACGUCGUGAGACAGUUCGGUCCCUAUCUGCCGUGGGCGCUGGAGAACUGAGGGGGGCUGCUCCUAGUACGAGAGGACCGGAGUGGACGCAUCACUGGUGUUCGGGUUGUCAUGCCAAUGGCACUGCCCGGUAGCUAAAUGCGGAAGAGAUAAGUGCUGAAAGCAUCUAAGCACGAAACUUGCCCCGAGAUGAGUUCUCCCUGAGACUUAAAGUCUCCUGAAGGAACGUUGAAGACGACGACGUUGAUAGGCCGGGUGUGUAAGCGCAGCGAUGCGUUGAGCUAACCGGUACUAAUGAACCGUGAGGCUU
rnacentral:rRNA from 2 species